AUGGGGAGGCUCAGCCUGUGCCCGAUGGGAGGCGAUGCCCUGAGCUCACCCCUCCCUAUCCCACACCUAACAUGUCCCUCCAUGGCUCACAGUCCUCUCCCAUCUCCCUGCCCCCUGCCAGGGGGCACGGAGCUCUCUCCUUGCCAGCGCUGUGUCCCUCUGCUUUCUCCUGCAGGGGAAGAUGUCCCCAGCUGCAGGCUGCUGGAUACGGACUACAGCAACCACAUCCUCCUCCUCAGUGACCGCGAGUACCAGGGGAGGAUCAUCUCAGUGCUGUUUCUCUACAGUAAGUGUUGGAGAAAGCAAGAGCUGGGGAGGCAAGGGGUGCACGGGGCAGACCCUUCAGCAAGUGGGAUGGGAACUGCAGGAGAGUUUUCACCUGGUCAGUCUGGGGAUGUCUGGACUGUCUGCUCCGGCAGGAGCACAGCACCCAGAUGUGCUCUCUCUGCCUGGGAGGAGGAGGGCUUGGACAGUUUUGGCCAGGCUGCAGACACCACUCUGUCCCCUGCAGGCAGGGAUGCUGAAGCGAAACCCCACAUGUUAGAGAAAUUCAGAGACACCAUGAGCCAGAUGGGGCUUUCUGAGGAGCAGAUGAUUGUGCUGCCCAAGACCGAAGAGUGCACCCCGCCAUCCGAGUAGGUGACAUAGAGCUCCAACCAUCCCAUCCUGUUGCUGGGUGAGCCCCAGUGUCCUCCUGCCCACCCACCCCGAGCUGGGAGCACAGCCAGUCCCAGCACAACCAUGCACAAUCAGCUCAAAACCGAUCCCAGCCCAAAAGCACUGUUCUCCUGGGGAAAGGCUUAAAACCAUAUAAAAGCUGGAAAAUACAAUUUUCUUUUCUUUUUUAAGCUUUUAGCCAAGUAUAUUGUAAGAUCUGAAAUUCAGCAUUAGCAAUAGAUGUGGCCUCAACCCGAGUUUUGAGAAGUUGGGAACCAGCAGCUGCUUGCAAUGGGACAAGCCCUUGGAGCUGGGGCUGCCUCGCUGCUGGGAGUCUGCCUCUGGCAAGCAGCAAGCACUGCUCCAGGGACAGGGAACAGAACCAGGGCAUCAUAGGGCAGUUCAGGCAGGAGCAGACCUUUGGGGGUCUGCAGUCCAACCACUUGCCACAACAGGGCCAGCCAUGGGGUCAGCCCAGGUUCAGGCUUUCACCCCACAGGGUCUUGCAACCCCCUGAGGUUGGGUUCAGCCUCAGCAGCUCUUUCUUCUCCCCCAAGAGAGCCCCAGUCUCGGGCCCCUCCUGGGGGAGCCCUGAGGAGGGCUCUCAGUCUGCAGGGGAGCAGUUGUGCUACCAUCCCUGCUUGGCCCCCACAGGCCCCUCUCCUGAAUGCUAUGUCUGCAGAGCAGCCUGUGCAUCCCCCUGCUCGGGGCUGCCCUGGCCCCAGCACUCCCAUGCUCAGCUGGGCACUUGCUGGGUUUACUUCUGGACAAAGCCAUUGCCUGACCUCAGCCAUUUGGCCGUGGUGACUUUUCCAUGUCCUGGCCCCUGUUUUUGCAGCCACGCUGCAGACUCAUGGCCCGGAUCAGCUUUGUAACUGCAGCCCUGGUCCCUGUGCUCCUCACACCGCCAGUAGCCAGCACCUCGUCCCCUCCUAUCCCGCGACCUCAGCGGCUCCCAGUUAGCCGGUGGCUCCAUCCCAUG
ensembl:lncRNA